ACAAGCGAAUUGUAAUACUGGAUCACUAACACAUUUGGAGAUGGAAAACAAUUUAUGUUUGAAAUGUGAAACCUUACCUUCUACCAAAAAAGGAUCGUGCAGUGAUGGAAUAGCAAGACGACCUUUGAAAGACUUUCUACAAGAAGACAGAGAAAGAAGAUAUGCAGAAAGAAAUCUAAUCAAUAAACACAACUCUAACUCAUUUUCAAUCACAAUUUCUACAAACUCAUACAAGAAUGGAGCUUCCUACAUGGAGAAUAUUUUUAUUCUUGCUUUUUAUUUGUUUCGCAAUAUUAGUUACGAUAUAUCUUGUUUUCCUAGUGCUUACAUUUAAAUUAUUUCUUUUGUUGGUUCUAACUUGUCCGUUGAUUGUUGGUUUUGUAUUUUUUAUAUUGUUCAUAGGAUUGUUAACAAUAUCUUUCUGUGCUGUGUUGUAUGUUUGUAAAUCAUAUUGUUUGGGUGAUUUCCUGGACGAGGAAGAUCAAUGAAAAUGACUUGAUAAUUGGAUGGAAUACGGACAAUAUUCCCUGAUUUUCUACAAAAUAUAUUUUAUUUAUAUACCACGUAUCAUCGGGUCCACUGUAUACUCGCAUGUCCUAACAAUUUGAAUAGUGUCAGUUACUAUUGAAAAAUAUUAAUUUUGAAAUAUUAAAUUGUAUUAAUUUCUAGUAAAAGUAAGAAGUCGCGUACUCGCCAACAAUAUAUUCAUCAUAGUAUUUUGCAAAGCCAGAAAACUUGAAUUGAAAGACUUUGAAAGAAGUGCUCAGUAACAUUGACAUGAUUGGAACUUGUUUUAUCUACAGGCAGAAAUAUUUGGGAUUAAAACUAUUUAUAAUUAAUUUAUUUUUAUAUAAUUAUUUAUUUAUAAAUAUUGCAUAAUAUGUUA